GACGAACGCUGGCGGCGUGCCUAAUACAUGCAAGUAGAACGCUGAAGAGAGGAGCUUGCUCUUCUUGGAUGAGUUGCGAACGGGUGAGUAACGCGUAGGUAACCUGCCUUGUAGCGGGGGAUAACUAUUGGAAACGAUAGCUAAUACCGCAUAACAAUGGAUGACACAUGUCAUUUAUUUGAAAGGGGCAAUUGCUCCACUACAAGAUGGACCUGCGUUGUAUUAGCUAGUAGGUGAGGUAAUGGCUCACCUAGGCGACGAUACAUAGCCGACCUGAGAGGGUGAUCGGCCACACUGGGACUGAGACACGGCCCAGACUCCUACGGGAGGCAGCAGUAGGGAAGCUUCGGCAAGGGGGGCAACCCUGACCGAGCAACGCCGCGUGAGUGAAGAAGGUUUUCGGAUCGUAAAGCUCUGUUGUAAGUCAAGAACGGGUGUGAGAGUGGAAAGUUCACACUGUGACGGUAGCUUACCAGAAAGGGACGGCUAACUAUGUG
rnacentral:rRNA from 1 species